rnacentral:rRNA from 1 species
UACGUAGGGUGCAAGCGUUGUCCGGAAUUAUUGGGCGUAAAGAGCUCGUAGGCGGUUUGUCGCGUCUGCCGUGAAAGUCCGGGGCUCAACUCCGGAUCUGCGGUGGGUACGGGCAGACUAGAGUGAUGUAGGGGAGACUGGAAUUCCUGGUGUAGCGGUGAAAUGCGUAGAUAUCAGGAGGAACACCUGUGGUGUAGACGGCUUACUGGACCAUGACUGACGCUGAGGCACGAAAGCGUGGGGAGCAAACAGGAU